rnacentral:rRNA from 1 species
CCUACGGGAGGCUGCAGUGAGGAAUAUUGGUCAAUGGGCGCGAGCCUGAACCAGCCAAGUAGCGUGAAGGAUGACUGCCCUACGGGUUGUAAACUUCUUUUAUAAGGGAAUAAAGUGAGGCACGUGUGCCUUUUUGUAUGUACUUUAUGAAUAAGGAUCGGCUAACUCCGUGCCAGCAGCCGCGGUAAUACGGAGGAUCCGGGCGUUAUCCGGAUUUAUUGGGUUUAAAGGGAGCGUAGAUGGGUUGUUAAGCAAGUUGUGAAAGGUUGCGGCUCAACCGUAAAAUUGCAAUUGAUACUGGCAGCCUUGAGUCCAGUUGAGGCAGGCGGAAUUCGUGGUGUAGCGGUGAAAUGCUUAGAUAUCACGAAGAACCCCGAUUGCGAAGGCAGCUUACUAAAGCGCCACUGACAUUGAUGCUCGAAAGUGCGGGUAUCAAACAGGAUUAGAUACCCUUGUAGUC